rnacentral:rRNA from 1 species
UGGGGAAUUUUGGACAAUGGGCGAAAGCCUGAUCCAGCAAUGCCGCGUGUGUGAAGAAGGCCUUCGGGUUGUAAAGCACUUUUGUCCGGAAAGAAAUCCUUGGCUCUAAUACAGUCGGGGGAUGACGGUACCGGAAGAAUAAGCACCGGCUAACUACGUGCCAGCAGCCGCGGUAAUACGUAGGGUGCAAGCGUUAAUCGGAAUUACUGGGCGUAAAGCGUGCGCAGGCGGUUUGCUAAGACCGAUGUGAAAUCCCCGGGCUCAACCUGGGAACUGCAUUGGUGACUGGCAGGCUAGAGUAUGGCAGGAGGGGGGUAGAAUUCCACGUGUAGCAGUGAAAUGCGUAGAGAUGUGGAGGAAUACCGAUGGCGAAGGCAGCCCCCUGGGCCAAUACUGACGCUCAUGCACGAAAGCGUGGGGAGCAAACAGGAUUAGAUACCCUGGUAGUCCACGCCCUAAACGAUGUCAACUAGUUGUUGGGGAUUCAUUUCCUUAGUAACGUAGCUAACGCGUGAAGUUGACCGCCUGGGGAGUACGGUCGCAAGAUUAAAACUCAAAGGAAUUGACGGGGUCAUAGCUGUUUCC